GUAAAAAUGUCAGCAGAAUUCAGUCCCGCCAUUUUUUCUCUUAUUUCCCUCCAUUUUUCGCACGUCAAUGAUUCCCCUCCAUUUAAUUUUAAAAUAGAAACUGAAACUGCUCGGUUGUUCCACAAAAUCUGCCCCUCAUCUACUUGACCACCACGCACGGUUCCAUCUUCCCCGUCAACGCCUCCACUCAUCAUGAACCCCGCCGCCGCCGCAAAGUUCACAUUCCUCCUUGACGCGCCAUCUCUCCACCUAGCAGAGUCGUCUGUUGCCGCCCUCUCUCCACGUAGCUACGCCGCGGGCGAGCCCUCUGCAUGUCGUUGCUGCAGAGGAACUUCGCCCUGUACUGGUAGAUCGUGCCUCCAGUGGCAGCGUGAUCGAGUACUCCACGGAGGCGAUGCAGCUCGUCGUCCCCAACCCAUUGACGUGCUCACCUACCUCGCAUGGAAGAUAUCUGAGUUCCCCGCGUGCCACGUGAUUGGCUCCGUCACCAACCUUCACUCCUCCAAGUUCAGAUUCCUCAUCGGCGAGCACCUCGGUGUCAAAGCGCAGGACGUGCAGAUCUUCUCCCCAGUGGCCAAUUUAUUCUCUCUCCCCACAGAAGUGAAGGACCCUCCCCUGCAUUGUCGUCUGCUUUUCGCCCUCCUCUUCUCAGUAGGCCAACAAGUACACAUCUGCAGUAAGCAUAUGACAGCUGCACUCCUUUCCUCAUGUCAUGGAAAUUACAGUAUUAAUCAUAGAAUUGUCGUGUCCCAUGAUCGGAUUGGAAGUGGAGGCAGAUGCGUACCGAGGGGGUCGAGGUCAAGUCUAUUAGCUCGGAUAGAUGUAAGCAAUUUUGACGCAUUCUAAAAAAUAGCGUACUACAUAUCUAGCUUCAGGCUUUGAGGUAUUUUGCACUUUGUAUUAAACAUAAACAGCUCUGUUCUUGUUCUUGAUAUAUGUAUGCCCACAUAUGCUUCUGAAAUAUCAUGCAGUAUAAUUUUUAUUUUACUCAAGGACCAAACUUCAAGCUUUGAUAUUCUUUUUGUAAUUUUGUGUUCAACAAAAGUAGCUCAGUUCUUGAUAUAUGCAUGCAGAAUUGCAUACAUAUGCUUCUUAAAACAGUGUAAUCUGAAUCUUUUACUUAAGGACCUACCUUCAGACUUUGAGCAGUAUUCUGUAUUUAAUCUGUAAAAUAGUUUUGUCCUGGAAAUUCAAUAUUGAUAUAAUAAGAAAGUGAAGACACAAUACAAGCAAUUGUGCAACUCCUACUCUAACGCAUAAUACUUAGAUGCACUUUGGACAGCAACGCAGCAUCUGUUAUUUCGAACACAUGGUGUGCUCCCCUGAUUUGUGUGCACCCUUUUCUUCUAUUAACUAGUGUAGGAUGCAAUUUGUAUGGUGGGCACAUGCAUGACAAGAAGGUAAACAGAACAGCAAUAGAUGUCUUCCGUUCCACCACAUACCAAGAACAGUGACUUCUGCAACUACCAAACAAGUGUUGGCACUAUAUUAUUUUGAAGAGCUUGGGAAAUCAAAACGAGAAUGUUGCUCUUGCUACACUCUAAAGUACCGACAAGAAUAUAAAAGUGAUGGUGUUAAACUUGGUAAUGGGUUCUGAACAGUACGAGUUUGAUGCUAUGUUAGCAAAAUAUGAUCUGUUGAUAUGACAACUAAAAAAGGAUUAAAAGUUAUUGGUCAGGCGAUAAAAUUAAUUAUCACAUGACCUUCAACAUUUGUAUGUUGCUCGUCUAAAUUUUACUGCUCUAUUAACUUGAUUUUAUCUAACGGCUCGUUACUGAUAUCAUUUCUCUAUUGUUGUAGAUUGCCAAGGUAAAUAAAUGAUGCAUGUCUCAUAUUGGCUGAAGGUCAAGAACGAGGUUACAUACUUCUAGAUAGCUUCACAUUACGUUUUGGAAUGUCGUUUCCAGAGUUGAUGUUUCAAACAUUAUGAUUUAGAAAGGCAGAGAUGUCAAUUGCAAGGCCAAGAAUCGAUAAUAGUUUAAGUCUUGUAAUCUUUGGAUCGCGUUGUUUGUAAUGCAACAAA